rnacentral:lncRNA from 1 species
AUGCUUGGACCACUUGAAUAUUCAACCUGAGUUGAUCCAGAGAAUAAAGGAAGCUCAAUCCACCGAUUCCACCUAGGCAGCCCUAAGGAAAGAUGUAAAACAAGGAGUGAAUUCAGAAUUUCAAGUCUCUGCCAAUGGGCUGCUCACAUUUCAGGACAGGGUGUGUGUUCCACGUGAUAAUGAGCUGAAAAAGGACAUUA